CCCUUAGAUGUCCUGGGCUGCACGCGCGCUACACUGAUGUGUCCAGUAAGCACCUAACCUCUUCCGAAAGGAACGGGUAACCUUUGCAAAGCACAUCGUGAUGGGGAUAGAUUAUUGCAAUUAUUAGUCUUGAACGAGGAAUUCCUAGUAAGCACAAGUCAUCAGCUUGUGUUGAUUACGUCCCUGCCCUUUGUACACACCGCCCGUCGCUACUACCGAUUGAAUGGUUUAGUGAGAUCCUUGGAUCGGCCCUGUCGCGGCUGGCAACGGCCGCGUCGGCGCGUCGAGAAGACGAUCAAACUUGAUCAUUUAGAGGAAGUAAAAGUCGUAACA
rnacentral:rRNA from 1 species